rnacentral:rRNA from 1 species
UACGGAGGGCGCUAGCGUUGUUCGGAAUUACUGGGCGUAAAGCGCGCGUAGGCGGCUUUGUAAGUUAGAGGUGAAAGCCCGGAGCUCAACUCCGGAACUGCCUUUGAGACUGAGUGGCUUGAGUACGAGAGAGGUGAGUGGAAUUCCCAGUGUAGAGGUGAAAUUCGUAGAUAUUGGGAAGAACACCGGUGGCGAAGGCGGCUCACUGGCUCGUAACUGACGCUCAUGCACGACAGCGUGGGGAUCAAACAGG